GACGAACGCUGGCGGCGUGCUUAACACAUGCAAGUCGAACGGAAAGGCCCUUUUGGUGGGUUACUCGAGGGGAAAAGGGGUGUGAAACACGUGGGCGUUCUGCCCUGUGGUUGGGGAUAAGCCGGGGAAAUAGGUUCUAAUACAGGAGAGGAGCGAUUGUAAGUGGGGGGGUUGGAGGGUUUUUUCGGUGUGGGGGGAGCUUGCGGCCUAUCAGCUUGUUGGGGGGGUAAUGGCCUACCAAGGCGGCGACGGGUAGCCGGCCUGAGGGGGUGGAAGGCCACAUUGAGACCUAGGGAAGGCACCGACUCCUACUGGUGGCAGAAGUGGGGAAUAUUGCACAAGGGGCGCCAGCCUGAUGCAGCGGCGCUGCGUGGUGGAUGACGGCCUUCGGGUUGUAAACUCGUUUCGCUAGGGACGAAGCUUUUUGUGACGGUACCUAGAUAAGAAGCACCGGCUAACUACGUG
rnacentral:rRNA from 1 species